UUCGCCCCGUUGCUGCUACCUUGACGUGGUGGUCGGGCUUGCCUAUCGUGAUGAACCAAUUGAGCUAUGCUGGCUGGAACAAUAGGUCCUCAAGGUCCUACCAUGCCAGACAGGUCGGUUGAAGAGCGGUAAGACUAAAAGCAGC
rnacentral:ribozyme from 1 species